AUGGGUUUUGAUCGUGCCAACACGGCUAACUGCGUCGCCACUGGCCGCGGACGCACUGUGUGUGUGACCGGCGCCGGCGGUUUCAUCGCGUCCAGGCUCGUGAAGCUCCUUGUGAAGAAGGGCUACGCCGUCCACGGCACCGUCCCGAACCCUGGAAAAAAUGAUCGAGCCGGCAGUGAACGGGACGAGAAACGUGAUCAACGCCAUGGAGGAGGUGGGCGGCAUCCGGCGUGUGGUAAUGAUGUCGUCGAUCGGCUCCUCUACAUGGAUCCUUGCCGCAGCAUCGAUGGGGAGGCCGACGAGACAUGUUGGAGCGACCUCGAGUUCUGCAAGAACACAAAGACGGCGGCGGAGCAGGCGGCAUUGGAGCUCCCAAAGGAGAGGAAGCUAGACCUUGUCGUGAUCAACCUGCCUCUAGUGUUGGGCCCUCUGUUGCAGACGGUGGUGAAUGCCAGCACUUUGCACACCGCUAAAUACCUGGACGGCUCGAUGCAGACGUACACCAAUGCUGCCCAGGCGUACGUGCAUGUCUGGGAUGUCGCGGACGCACACGUGCGUGCGUACGAGAUGCCUAAUGCGCAUGGCCAGUACCUCUGCGCGGGGCGCACGCUGCACCGCUCUGAGGUGUGUUGUAUCCUCGCAAAGUUCUUUCCGGAGUACCCCGUGCCCACCAGGUGCAAGGAAGGGGCGGGCGAGAUGAAGAAAGGGUGCCGGUUCAGCAGUCGGAGGAUCAUGGAGCUAGGCGUCGGCAUCACGCCGGCAAGCCAGUGUCUCUACGACACCGUCACGAGCCUUCAAGACAAGGGCAUCUUACCCCGUCGCCACGCUGAUAUGUCCUGA
rnacentral:rRNA from 1 species